AAUCAACGCUGGCGGCGUGCCUCAGACAUGCAAGUCGAACGAUUAAAGCUCUCUUCGGAGAGUGCAUAGAGUGGCGCACGGGUGAGUAACACGUAAGUAAUCUACCUUCGAGUGGGGAAUAACGUCCGGAAACGGACGCUAAUACCGCAUAAUGCAGCGGCAUCAUAAGAUGACAGUUGUUAAAGGAGCAAUUCGCUUGAAGAGGAGCUUGCGGCAGAUUAGCUAGUUGGUAAGGUAAUGGCUUACCAAGGCUACGAUCUGUAACCGGCCUGAGAGGGCGGUCGGUCACACUGACACUGACAUACGGGUCAGACUCCUACGGGAGGCAGCAGUCGGGAAUUUUGGGCAAUGGGCGAAAGCCUGACCCAGCAACGCCGCGUGAAGGAUGAAAUUUUUCGGAAUGUAAACUUCGCAAGAACAGGAAGAAUAAGUAGAAGAUAAUACCUUCUAUGAUGACGGUACUGUUUGUAAGCUCC
rnacentral:rRNA from 1 species